rnacentral:rRNA from 1 species
GACGAACGCUGGCGGCGUGCCUAAUACAUGCAAGUGGGACGCAAGGGAACACACUGUGCUUGCACACCGUGUUUUCUUGAGUCGCGAACGGGUGAGUAACGCGUAGGUAACCUGCCUAUUAGCGGGGGAUAACUAUUGGAAACGAUAGCUAAUACCGCAUAAUAUUAAUUAUUGCAUGAUAAUUGAUUGAAAGAUGCAAGCGCAUCACUAGUAGAUGGACCUGCGUUGUAUUAGCUAGUUGGUAAGGUAAGAGCUUACCAAGGCGACGAUACAUAGCCGACCUGAGAGGGUGAUCGGCCACACUGGGACUGAGACACGGCCCAGACUCCUACGGGAGGCAGCAGUAGGGAAUCUUCGGCAA